rnacentral:lncRNA from 1 species
UAUUUUAAAAAAAUUAGAUUAUAAUUGAAAAAGGAGUGUCAGAUUGGGAGGAAGGUACUACAAAGUUCAUAUAGUACCCUUAUGAGAAUGUGAUAUGUGCAUAAAAAGAAUACAUAGAAACACAAAGACAUUGAAAUUGGAAAGGAUUAAAUGGUCUGAGUCUUGUUUUUCCAAAUGAUGGCACACACAACACCACAACAAGAUAGUGACCCUCUCACGAUCCAGAUCCAAAUCCAAAAAGGUACUCAAAUGUAGCAGAAGAUUAACCAGAAGAAGAAGAAGAAGAAGGAAGAAAGAAAAAUGGGGAGCAGAGUCGGUAGUGAAGUCACUUUCAAAAAGACAGAGACCCACCGAAAACACCAUCCCCAAGAAGAAAAUACUGCUGCUGUUAUUAGUCUCUUUCAUGCAUUCUUCUCUCUGACUCUCUCUCUCUCUCUCUAUAUAUAUAUAUAUAUAUAUAUUAGAAAAAGAAAAAUCUGAAUCGUUCC